UGGGGAAUAUUGGACAAUGGGCGCAAGCCUGAUCCAGCCAUGCCGCGUGAGUGACGAAGGUCUUCGGAUUGUAAAGCUCUUUUGGUGGGGACGAUAAUGACGGUACCCGCAGAAUAAGCCCCGGCUAACUUCGUGCCAGCAGCCGCGGUAAUACGAAGGGGGCUAGCGUUGUUCGGAAUUACUGGGCGUAAAGCGCACGUAGGCGGAUUUGUUAGUCAGGGGUGAAAUCCCGGGGCUCAACCUCGGAACUGCCUUUGAUACUGCAAGUCUCGAGUCCGAUAGAGGUGAGUGGAAUUCCUAGUGUAGAGGUGAAAUUCGUAGAUAUUAGGAAGAACACCAGUGGCGAAGGCGGCUCACUGGAUCGGUACUGACGCUGAGGUGCGAAAGCGUGGGGAGCAAACAGGAUUAGAUACCCCCGUAGUCCCUGAGCGGGCUGGCAAGGCGCAU
rnacentral:rRNA from 1 species